UCCUACGGGGCGCAGCAGUAGGGAAUUUUCGUCAAUGGGCGCAAGCCUGAACGAGCGAUGCCGCGUGAGUGAAGAAGGCCUUCGGGUCGUAAAGCUCUGUUGCGGGGGAAAAAAGGCAGCAUCAGGAAAUGGGUGCUGACUGAUGGUGCCCUGCCAGAAAGUCACGGCUAACUACGUGCCAGCAGCCGCGGUAAUACGUAGGUGGCGAGCGUUAUCCGGAAUGAUUGGGCGUAAAGGGUGCGCAGGCGGU
rnacentral:rRNA from 1 species